ACACCCGAAGUCGGUGAGGUAACCUUUUGGAGCCAGCCGCCUAAGGUGGGAUAGAUGAUUGGGGUGAAGUCGUAACAAGGUAGCCGUAUCGGAAGGUGCGGCUGGAUCACCUCCUUUCUAAGGAA
rnacentral:rRNA from 1 species